AUUGAACGCUGGCGGUAGGCUUAACACAUGCAAGUCGUGCGAGAAAGUAUCUUCGGAUAUGAGUAGAGCGGCGGACGGGUGAGUAACGCGUAGGAAUCUACCUAGUAGAAGGGGAUAGCCCGGGGAAACUCGGAUUAAUACCGUAUACCUCCUUCGGGAGAAAGAAGGCCUCUCAUUGAAGCUUUCGAUACUAGAUGAGCCUGCGUAAGAUUAGCUUGUUGGUGAGGUAAAGGCUCACCAAGGCGACGAUCUUUAGCGGGUCUGAGAGGACGAUCCGCCACAUUGGGACUGAGACACGGCCCAGACUCCUACGGGAGGCAGCAGUGGGGAAUAUUGGACAAUGGGCGCAAGCCUGAUCCAGCCAUACCGCGUGUGUGAAGAAGGCCCUAGGGUUGUAAAGCACUUUAAGUUGGGAAGAAAAGUUAUUGGUUAAUACCCAAUAGCCGUGACAUUACCAUCAGAAUAAGGACCGGCUAAUUCCGUG
rnacentral:rRNA from 1 species